UUUGACAUACAAAAAUCACAGCAUCUCAAAACUUGAUCCUUUUUAUUUACCACACAUAGUAAGUUCUUUUGAUCUCCUUCAAAAGAAUUCCAAACUUCCAACCUUAGAUUAAAAUGCCAUAAUUAUAUCCCAAGAAAUUAAUUUCUCUUGAUUCUACACAGAGAUCAUAAUUGGCUUGACAGAAAUAGGAGAAAUCUUUAGUAUCAAAUGCUCUUAAUAUUCUAUAAUCAUUUUUCUUUUCUU
rnacentral:lncRNA from 1 species